UGGGCAGCCUCGGAUGAACUGUUAGCAUU
rnacentral:piRNA from 1 species